ensembl:lncRNA
CAAUGCUUGGUGUUGUUUUCUGGGCCUGUCACGUGUUAAUUCCAGGGGAGAAUCAGCUUCUUUAAAUGCAAUUUCUGCUCUGUGCAUGUGACAUUGGCAUUAAGUCUGGCUGUGAGAGCAGCCUGCCUGGAAAGAACAAGCAGGAAAGCAUAGCAACACUACCGUCUUCUGCUCUACAGAAAUCCAAAGUGGUCUCGGUGCAAGCCUCUGAAGUGAAGAGGAGCUUGCCUUGUGUCUUUUACAGUGUAUCUUAAUGAGAUUUUGUGCACCUAAUGAGAACAAGAGAAAAGAAUUUAGCUAGCAAAAAAACACAGGCUAAAUUGGCUUGGUUGGAUUUGCCUAAGAAUUACUUCAUUCAGGAUCUGCUGAGCACUGAACAGGGUACAGUGACAUCAUCUGAUGGCAACUGGAGAGAAGAAGUGUCAUAGGAUGUGCCAGUCAAAGAACGGCUUGAGAAGGAGGCAGAGAGAAAAAUUUUGUUUUACUGUUACUGGAAAUAGUGCCAUUUCAUGUACCCAAGAGAGACACCGAGAAAGGCUAUAAUCUUUGCUAAAGUUACUCCAGCGUUAAAAGAAAAAGGAUAAGGAGACUCUGGAGUAAGCCUGCUUUCAUUUACUCUGUUGGAAGUAUGGAAUUAAAACUGAUUUCCGUGGAUAUAUUCCAUGUUUCUCUAAAAGCACAAUCUGUCUUUAGCGUUGCCUUCAACUGAGGUGCAGUUCAGGUCUGCAGAUUUGGCCUGGUGAGAAGGAAAACAGCAUAACAGGAUUAGGAUGAAGAAGGCACUCAAGAAUCAAUCAGUGCAUAAUUUUGCCGUUACACUUAAACUGUAGGGAUAUCAUACAUUAACUAAUGACAGCUUCUGGGAUAAAAAGAUCUUGGUAGAAUUUAAGUCAGCCUUUCUGGUAAAAUGUUCUGAUGGCAAAUGCAGAUGUGUGUGUGUGCUUAUCUUUAGCUAAAGACAGUCUUUAGCCAUGUAAUAUAUACAAUUACCAACAAAAACUUGUAUAAUAGUUUUUGUAAUUGUGUAGUUGUAUUUUUGCAUUUACACUCAGGGGAAUGUGAUUUGAAUAAAAUAGACUCUUCCCAAGAGCCCCAAGAGGAAUUUGUUUUUCUGUUCCAAGUAUUCUUAAUAACUAUUUUUCAGAGUCUUCUUAAUAUUUUUGGGGGACUUUU